AUGACAGCUUCCACUGAAUCUGGAGAGAGCCCUAAAGGGAAUGAAGAAAUCAUUUACAUAAAAAAUUCAAAUGCGCAAAAAGAUGUACCUGAGUGGGUUCCUGUUCUAGCGCUCUGCCUGGUCGGUCUUUCUGCUUGCACCUGCUGUGUGCCACCUGCUAGACAAAAGCUUUUCUCGUGCCUUUCUAUUUUGCUCGCCGAAUGUAAUGGUAAAGCUGUUCCAGAUCCAGCAAACUCCUCUUGCAUUAAAGAAUUCACAUCCAUGCAGGAUGAAUCAAGCUUAUAUUUCAAACAGUUCCAGAAGAAUCCAAGUAGCUUUGAAGAACCUGAAGCUUUACCAGUAGAGGAAAUCUUCAUGAAAAGGCAAUGCCCACCUCUUCAGGAUGGAUCCCACUUCAAAAACAGUGAGAAGGGAGAAAGCCAAAAAUGUCAGAUGCCAGUCAGUUUGGAAGAAGAGGAUCCCACUGUAAUAAACGUGAACUACGCUCCUUUGAUCCUUGAUACACCAAGCAUCACCAACAAGCAUUCGCUGCUACCUUUGUAUAGAAAAGUUGCACCUAAAGAACCAAAUCAAGGCCCGAUAUUUUCUGACUAUCUCAGCAAUCCACUUGAGGAUACAACGGUAGACUACUUGCCAACUGUUACAGCCAAUGAUACGAACAAUGAUGAGGACAGCUUUGACUCUGAACUCAAUUCAUUUUCUGUUUUCCCGAGAACGUUUCUAUCCCAGACAUUUUCCCUUGGAGGAAAGCUUACUCUAGAUGCUAUAAGAAUUGACUGUAAUUCUUACACAGACUAAGGUUGCAAUCUUAUUCCAAUUGAUCUGGAAGUAAGCUGUUUCACUCUAUGGGACUUACCUCAAAGUAGGUGUCUAGAAUUAUGAUGUUAGCUAGGGAUACGCAACUUUUCUGAUUCCCGAGGGCCAUAUGGUAAUGCCAGGUCAGCCAAGGAUAUCAGUCCAAGGCAUGGGAAGAUGUAAGCCUCCAUUCUCUUUCCCAUGAGAUUAGACUGUUGGAAGGGCAGGGGUAAAGCCUUUCCAACCCAUCUUAAAAGAGACAAAGGGAAUCCCAAAGCUUGUUGCAUCCAGCUGUUCUUAAGAAUAUAGUAACACAUCUAAGGUAUUCUAGCUCUGACCAUUAACACUUAAAUAGGCAAUGUUCGUAAUUGCCUCCUAACUACCUUUAGUAUUUUAAAACUGCUAUAAUAUACAGUAGAGUCUUGCUUAUCCGACAUAAACAGGCCGGCAGAAAGUUGGACAAGCAGAAAUGUUGGAUAAUAAGGAGGAAUUAAGGAAAAGCCUAUUAAAUAUCAAAUAACGUCGUGAUUUUACAAAUUAAGCACUAAAACAUGUUUUACAACAAAUCAACAGAAAAAGCAGUUCAAUACAUGAGAAUGUUAUGUAGUAAUUACUGUAUUUACGAAUUUAGCACCAAAACAUCACAAUGUACUGAAAACAUUGACUACAAAAACAUUGACUACUAAAAGGCAGAUUGUGUUGGAUAAUACAGAACGUUGGAUAAGCGAGACUCUACUGUACAUCCCAUCUCAUGCAGACCAAAAGCCAUUUUAAACACUAAAAUACACAAAUACUUUUGUAAUGCAACAUGAAUAUGAUUUACCCACAACAAUAUGUUCUGUAUAACUUCCUUUUUCAGUUCAUCAUUAAAAUCUAAGGCUUCAUGUUUGAAUAAGUAUGGUUGUCGUCCAAAUGUAGGGUCUUGGUGGUGGGUCCGUAGGUAACUAUAGAAACCUAUUCUUGAUCUGCUUGUUCUUUCACAGUGCUGAAUGAGUUUCUUAUUUGGACCUCAGAUUGUUUAUAUCAGUUAAAAAGUUUAGGUAUGCUUCUAUCAGAAGUUGAUCCUAGAUUUCCACUGGAGGGCCGACCUAGAAAUGCUAAGGAAGUGUUUUCGCUAGACAUUUUUAAGGCCCUCUGGCAUGAUUCCAUGGUAUGCAUUUCAAUAGGGUUCACUAUUAUCUAUGGUUUCACAUUUCCAUAGUCCAAGUCCAAGACUAUAUCGCCUACAGAUAUGAGGGUUAUAUUGUAAUUGUUAUUUUAAAAUUCUAUACAAAUUAUUGAAGGGAUUCUUCAUGCAAGUACCUCCAGUUAGGAAAGGCAAAACAUGAUUUCCACAUGUGUUUUCCAAGAGGGAUGAUUUUAUUAUUUAUUAAAACAUGUUUGAAUAAUAUUUUAUUCUUGUGUCUGUAAUAGCGGUAUCAAAAUACAAUAAAAAUCCAAAUUAUGUCCAGAGGAAAAUCCUGGGUUCAAGAAAAACAUGAUCUGCCAAUUAAAAUGUGGGCAGAUGAGUUUUUUCACUGCAAUGUUGGUGCUAUGAACACCUGCUUAGAGAAAGUGUACCACAGUUGGGAAGCCACAACCAAGAAGGCUCUGACCUGAUGGAUUAAAAUAAAGGAUAUAUCAAAG
rnacentral:lncRNA from 11 species